GACAGAGGAUGCGAACGUUGCUCGGAAUUACUGGGCGUAAAGCGCGUGUAGGUGGAUUGGUGUGUCAGAUGUGAAAUCCCUGGGCUCAACCCAGGAACUGCACCUGAAACUACCAGUCUUGAGUGGUGGAGAGGGAAGUGGAAUUCCUGGUGUAGAGGUGAAAUUCGUAGAUAUCAGGAGGAACACCAGUGGCGAAGGCGGCUUCCUGGACACCAACUGACGCUGAGACGCGAAAGCGUGGGGAGCAAACAGG
rnacentral:rRNA from 1 species